CCUACGGGAGGCAGCAGUGGGGAAUAUUGGACAAUGGGCGAAAGCCUGAUCCAGCAAUUCCGCGUGUGUGAAGAAGGCCUUCGGGUUGUAAAGCACUUUAGUGGGGAAGAAACAGCUUGGCCACGCCAAGCCUUGACGGUACCCCAAGAAUAAGCACCGGCUAACUCUGUGCCAGCAGCCGCGGUAAUACAGAGGGUGCAAGCGUUAAUCGGAUUUACUGGGCGUAAAGGGUGCGUAGGUGGCUAUUUAAGUCGGAUGUGAAAGCCCGGGGCUCAACCUCGGAAUUGCAUUCGAUACUGAGUGGCUAGAGUUCGGUAGAGGGCGGCGGAAUUUCCGGUGUAGCGGUGAAAUGCGUAGAUAUCGGAAGGAACAUCAAUGGCGAAGGCAGCCGCCUGGGCCUGGACUGACACUGAGGCACGAAAGCGUGGGUAGCAAACAGGAUUAGAUACCCUGGUAGUCCACGCCGUAAACGAUGAGAACUUGACGUUGGUCGUUUUACGAAUCGGUGUCGCNGCUACGACGAUAGUUACGUCCGUCCGUCGGGUAGGUACGGCCGGCCGACGGUUAGGUAAACGUACGUAAAGUUAGUUAAGUUAGUUACGGCGUGAGACGUUGCCGACGGACGACGACGAGGGAGGAGG
rnacentral:rRNA from 1 species